GGGCGGCGGGGCCGCAGCCUCGGGACCUGCGGGGCUCGGGGGCUGCCCCGGGCUCCGGGCCGGCGCGGACGGCAGGGCCGGUGGCCCCCGGGAGCGGCUGCAGCCUGAGACCGGGACGGGCCGGUGUCGCCAGCAGUCAUGGCACCAGCACGGGCUGAGGCAUCGUGUUUAUUGAAAAAGUCACGAUGGCUGGUCAUUCCACCUGCUCUUGCUCACCCCUGGACUCUACACCCUCUGGGUGCACAGCCUUCUGCCGAGCCGCACCCUGUGGAGAGGGGACCCCCGGGAUGGCCCCCGGCCCUGGAAGCUCGGAGACCGAAAGUUCUAGCCUGAGGACAGGAGACAGAACUUUCCUUUGACGUGAAGAUGAGCUUGCCUGGUGCUGUGGAAAGUUCUGUGCGCCCGCCCUCCCCGCUCGGAGGAUCGGAUGAAAGGGCCACGGGUGUCGCUGCCCCAGAGGCACGGC